AUACGGAGGAUGCAAGCGUUAUCCGGAUUUAUUGGGUUUAAAGGGUGCGUAGGCGGUUUGCUAAGCGGGAGGUGAAAUGCCGGCGCUCAACGUCGGAAGUGCCUCCCGAACUGGUGGACUGGAAUGACUCUGCCGUGGGAGGAAUGUGUAGUGUAGCGGUGAAAUGCUUAGAGAUUACACAGAACACCGAUUGCGAAGGCAUCUCACGAAGGGUUGAUUGACGCUGAGGCACGAAAGCGUGGGGAUCAAACAGGAUUAGAUACCCUGGUAGUCCACGCAGUAAACGAUGAUGGCCAACCGCUGGUUUUUUCGGAUCAGUGGCCAAGCGAAAGCGAUAAGCCAUCCACCUGGGGAGUACGACCGCAAGGUUGAAACUCAAAUGAAUUGACGGGG
rnacentral:rRNA from 1 species